CGUGGCCUGGCUGCGCGCCCCCCUCCCCCCAGCUGGAGACAGAUUGGGUUAACAAGCUGCAUCUGCCACGAAUGGUCAGCAGAACUCAGCAUCUCCCUGAAGAAUUCCAGCACCUGGUGAUAAGGUGGAUCAGUGGGAGUUAAGCACCUAUUUAUCUUUGUGAAUUCUAGCCAUGUGCAUAGCCUAGACACAUAUGGCCACGAGGAGGGUGUUCCCUCCCUGGGUUCCUGGAGAGAGAUACAGAAGCAAG